GUACUACUCCCUCCGUCCGAAAAUACUUGUCAUUGAAAUGGAUGUAUCUAGAUGUAUUUUAGUUCUAGACACAUCCAUUUUGAUGACAAGUAAUUCCGGACGGAGGGAGUACAAA
rnacentral:pre_miRNA from 1 species